UACGUAGGGUGCAAGCGUUGUCCGGAAUUAUUGGGCGUAAAGAGCUCGUAGGCGGUCUGUUGCGUCUGCUGUGAAAAACUCGGGGGCUUAACCCCCGGGCCUGCAGUGGGUACGGGGCAGACUAGAGUGCGGUAGGGGGAGACUGGAAUUCCUGGUGUAGCGGUGAAAUGCGCAGAUAUCAGGAGGAACACCGGUGGCGAAGGCGGGGUCUCUGGGGCCGUAACUGACGCUGAGGAGCGAAAAGCAUGGGGGAGCGAACAGG
rnacentral:rRNA from 1 species